rnacentral:tRNA from 1 species
GGAUCGUUAGCUCAGUUGGCAGAGCAGCUGACUCUUAAUCAGCGGGUCGAUGGUUCGAGCCCAUCACGGUCCACCA